rnacentral:rRNA from 1 species
AGGACGAACGCUGGCGGCGUGCCUAACACAUGCAAGUCGAACGAGGUCCAACCAAUGGCAACAUUGGGGAAUACCUAGUGGCGAACGGGGUGAGUAACACGUGAGGAACCUGCCCCGAAGACCGGGAUAACGCUCCGAAAGGAACGCUAAUACCGGAUACCUUCACCGGACCGCAUGAUCUGGUGAAGGAAUGGAUUCCGCUUCGGGAGGGUCCUCGCGGCCUAUCAGCUUGUUGGUGGGGUAAUCGGCCCACCAAGGCUUCGACGGGUAGCUGGUCUGAGAGGACGAUCAGCCACACGUGGGACUGAGACACGGCCCAGACCUCCUACGGGAGGCA